AGAACCCAACAUCACAUCAACUCUUGAGCUGAUGUCCUUAUUCAUGUCUGCACAAAACUCUAGGCAAUUCUGUCAUGUAUAAUUUUACCUUUUUCAGAUUUUGCUUGUGAAGAAACUUGGAACACCUAUUGCAAUCAAAUCAAAAUGUUAUAGUGGGAGAUUAAGUUUCCAGUGUCUGAUCCUCUUUUGGUACCACAGUUUCUUGCAGGUUAAUCUGGCCUAAUAAGGAAAUUAA
rnacentral:misc_RNA from 1 species